rnacentral:rRNA from 1 species
UACGUAGGUGGCAAGCGUUGUCCGGAUUUACUGGGCGUAAAGAGCGCGCAGGCGGUCGUUCAAGUCGCGUGUGAAAGCCCCCGGCUCAACUGGGGAGGGUCACGCGAUACUGAUCGACUCGAAGGCAGGAGAGGGUAGUGGAAUUCCUGGUGUAGCGGUGAAAUGCGCAGAUAUCAGGAGAACACCGGUGGCGAAGGCGGGCUCUGGUCG